CUGUGACCUGUGGGUUUCCCUUUGUCAUCCUAUGCCUGGAAAUUGGGAUAAGGCAGGGACAGCAAAGGGAUGCUCAGCUGUCACCACU
rnacentral:pre_miRNA from 1 species